rnacentral:rRNA from 1 species
AUCCUGGCUCAGGAUGAACGCUGGCGGCGUGCUUAACACAUGCAAGUCGAACGAAGAUGCCGGAGUGCUUGCACUUUGGCAGACUGAGUGGCGGACGGGUGAGUAACGCGUGGGUAACCUGCCUCACACAGGGGGAUAACAGUUGGAAACGGCUGCUAAUACCGCAUAAGCGCACAGUACCGCAUGGUACAGUGUGAAAAAACUCCGGUGGUGUGAGAUGGACCCGCGUCUGAUUAGCUAGUUGGCAGGGCAACGGCCUACCAAGGCGACGAUCAGUAGCCGACCUGAGAGGGUGACCGGCCACAUUGGGACUGAGACACGGCCCAAACUCCUACGGGAGGCAGCAGUGGGGAAUAUUGCACAAUGGGCGAAAGCCUGAUGCAGCAACGCCGCGUGAGUGAAGAAGUAUCUCGGUAUGUAAAGCUCUAUCAGCAGGGAAGAAAAUGACGGUACCUGACUAAGAAGCCCCGGCUAACUACGUG